UACGUAGGGGGCUAGCGUUGUCCGGAUUUAUUGGGCGUAAAGAGCGUGUAGGCGGCUAGGUAGGUCCGUUGUGAAAACUCGAGGCUCAACCUCGAGCCGUCGGUGGAAACCAUCUGGCUAGAGUCCGGAAGAGGAGAGUGGAAUUCCUGGUGUAGCGGUGAAAUGCGCAGAUAUCAGGAAGAACACCCGUGGCGAAGGCGGCUCUCUGGGACGGGACUGACGCUGAGACGCGAAAGCGUGGGGAGCGAACAGG
rnacentral:rRNA from 1 species